rnacentral:rRNA from 1 species
UACGUAGGGGGCUAGCGUUGUUCGGAUUUACUGGGCGUAAAGCGCACGUAGGCGGAUCGUUAAGUCGGGGGUGAAAUCCUGGAGCUCAACUCCAGAACUGCCUUUGAUACUGAGGAUCUUGAGUAUGGGAGAGGUGAGUGGAACUGCGAGUGUAGAGGUGAAAUUCGUAGAUAUUCGCAAGAACACCAGUGGCGAAGGCGGCUCACUGGCCCAUUACUGACGCUGAGGCACGAAAGCGUGGGGAGCAAACAGGG